CCUACGGGAGGCAGCAGUAAGGAAUAUUGGUCAAUGGACGGAAGUCUGAACCAGCCAUGCCGCGUGCAGGAAGACGGCCCUACUGGUUGUAAACUGCUUUUGCAGGGGAAUAAACCUCAUUACGUGUAAUGAGCUGAAUGUACUCUGAGAAUAAGGAUCGGCUAACUCCGUGCCAGCAGCCGCGGUAAUACGGAGGAUCCAAGCGUUAUCCGGAUUUAUUGGGUUUAAAGGGUGCGUAGGUGGCCUGUUAAGUCAGGGGUGAAAGACGGUAGCUUAACUAUCGCAGUGCCCUUGAUACUGAUGGGCUUGAAUGAACUAGAGGUAGGCGGAAUGUGACAAGUAGCGGUGAAAUGCAUAGAUAUGUCACAGAACACCAAUUGCGAAGGCAGCUUACUAUGGUUUAUUGACACUGAGGCACGAAAGCGUGGGGUCAAACAGGAUUAGAUACCCUGGUAGUCCACGCCCUAAACGAUGAAUACUCGAUGUUGGCGAUAUACGGUCAGCGUCUAAGCUAAAGCGUUAAGUAUUCCACCUGGGGAGUACGCCGCAAGGUGAAACUCAAAUGAAUUGACGGCGNGAGAGAGACGACGACGACGACGAGGGAGGAGG
rnacentral:rRNA from 1 species